GGGCGAGUGGCGGAAUUGGUAGACGCACCACACUCAAAAUGUGGCGACUCCGGUCUUGCGAGUUCGAGUCUCGCCUCGCCCA
rnacentral:tRNA from 3 species